GGUAUAUAAAUAUUGUAUUUUUGUCAUGCAAUAUGGUAACUUGGUCCCUUAAUUCUUAAUUACUGGUAUCUUCAUACUUACUAAUGCAAGUUAGGAAAGUUGACAAAUGUAAUAUGUCUAACUUGUAGACAACAGUAUUCACACAGAAUUACCUUUAUAGAAUUAUGUUGCAAAUUUACCCUGUUUUUUGUGACUCAUAUCUUUAAAAACAAUCACAGAGACAAUAUUUAUUUUGUUUUCUUGAAGAAAACUUCAAUUACAGACACAAUCAAUGUUACUAUUUAUUAUUUUCAUUUGUUUAGACAAUUGAAGUAGUUAGUUGAAUAAUUGUGCAGUUAGGUUCUUACAGUCGGAAAGCAAGCCCUUAGAAACGACCGUUGUUGCUACUUUCUUAAGACAACAAUGGGACUUAUAUUCAAAUCUGCCAUUCUGAAAAUGCGUUAAUUUCGCGGAAAAAUGAUUGGUGCCAAUUUCGAAAUUUUUCUUUUUUCUGUUUCUUACUUGCCAUUAAGGUCAGAAAUAGAUUUUUUUUAAUUUUUAAGCUCUAUGGUUCUUACUAAAAAGUAAAUAAUAAUUAAAUAUGUUAAAUAUGCCGUCUUUCAAC
rnacentral:lncRNA from 1 species